rnacentral:snRNA from 1 species
AGAUAUGAUGAUGGCCUGGUUACACCUGCAGCCUCACCCAUCACCCAGGAUUCCAUUGAUCUGGCUAGCUAGGCCAGAGUAUUCUUCCUUCCUCAUUGUUCCUUGUGUAGUCCUUCCGAAACUGAGCUAUGCUCAGUCAAAAGAGAAGGACUUCUUCCUCACAGAGGACCAUGUCUCACUCAAAGGUCUAUGAGUAGCUGAACCCUCCAUACAAUUUCUCAAGGUCCAUAACUGUUCCAUGGAUGUUAGAAUUCAGUGCAGAUAUUGUCCUUAUCAGGAUCAAUUAAUUAUAAGACUUUUCCAUAACUAAAU